AGAGUUUGAUCCUGGCUCAGGAUGAACGCUGGCGGCGUGCUUAACACAUGCAAGUCGAACGAUGAUCCCAGCUUGCUGGGGGAUUAGUGGCGAACGGGUGAGUAACACGUGAGUAACCUGCCCUUAACUCUGGGAUAAGCCUGGGAAACUGGGUCUAAUACCGGAUAUGACUCCUCAUCGCAUGGUGGGGGGUGGAAAGCUUUAUUGUGGUUUUGGAUGGACUCGCGGCCUAUCAGCUUGUUGGUGAGGUAAUGGCUCACCAAGGCGACGACGGGUAGCCGGCCUGAGAGGGUGACCGGCCACACUGGGACUGAGACACGGCCCAGACUCCUACGGGAGGCAGCAGUGGGGAAUAUUGCACAAUGGGCGAAAGCCUGAUGCAGCGACGCCGCGUGAGGGGUGACGGCCUUCGGGUUGUAAACCUCUUUCAGUAGGGAAGAAGCGAAAGUGACGGUACCUGCAGAAGAAGCGCCGGCUAACUACGUGCCAGCAGCCGCGGUAAUACGUAGGGCGCAAGCGUUAUCCGGAAUUAUUGGGCGUAAAGAGCUCGUAGGCGGUUUGUCGCGUCUGCCGUGAAAGUCCGGGGCUCAACUCCGGAUCUGCGGUGGGUACGGGCAGACUAGAGUGAUGUAGGGGAGACUGGAAUUCCUGGUGUAGCGGUGAAAUGCGCAGAUAUCAGGAGGAACACCGAUGGCGAAGGCAGGUCUCUGGGCAUUAACUGACGCUGAGGAGCGAAAGCAUGGGGAGCGAACAGGAUUAGAUACCCUAGUAGUCC
rnacentral:rRNA from 1 species